rnacentral:rRNA from 1 species
AUACGUAGGGGGCAAGCGUUAUCCGGAUUUACUGGGUGUAAAGGGAGCGUAGACGGAAGGCCAAGUCUGAUGUGAAAGCCCGCGGCUCAACUGCGGGACUGCAUUGGAAACUGGUCAUCUGGAGUGCAGGAGGGGUAAGCGGAAUUCCUAGUGUAGCGGUGAAAUGCGUAGAGAUCGGGAGGAACACCAGUGGCGAAGGCGGGUAACUGGACUGCAACUGACGCUGAGGCGCGAAAGUGUGGGGAGCAAACAGGAUUAGAUACCCUGGUAGUCCACACUGUAAACGAUGAAUGCUAGGUGUAAGAGGUAUCGACCCCUUUUGUGCCGGAGUCAACACAAUAAGCAUUCCGCCUGGGGAGUACGGCCGCAAGGUUGAAACUCAAAUGAACUGACGGGG